CAUCUCCCUCUCUCACGCCGCCGCCACCAUCUCCUCCUCUCCUCACCCUUUUUCUCUUAUCUGUGAGCUCACGGAGGAGAAAACUCCCACAGCACCACACCAUGCCGCCAUGGCGCCGUUGCUUGAGGCUGCCCCUCGCCAAGCUGAGGGCACCGAAAGGUGCGCACCAUCGUCCUCAUCCUCCUCCUCGAAGGAAUUGUCCUAGGAGGCCCUGGGACGUCGUCACGCUCGCCGAUUCCGUCUCCGACCACCGGCGUUCAUCUUCAAAUUCCGGCCACUCCGGCGACCCCCUGAAGUCCGCACCACCACUAUCUGAUUCCCCAUGUUCUGGGGCAACCCCGAAGGCCUCCAGCUCGUCUUGGUUCGGCCUGGAACGCAAGAUCCGUCCACAACCUGAGCCGUCCGCCAUGGGUGACAUCCUUGAGCUCCGCCUCUUUUUCCUUCAUCUUGCAUAGCGCCCUUGUCUCUACACGAAUCGAACCAGUAACACAGUGAUCCAGCGCCUACUGGGCCUCGGCCCAUGUUCCUGCCAGCUUCUUCGACGCUGAGCGUGCGGCAGGCCACCAUCCGUCGCUCAGCAUUUGCUUCUUCCCGGAUAGGAUCCCGAAGUGGUGUGGUGAGAUACGAC